GGGGGCGACCGGUUUCGACGGGGGUACUGAGGUCACUGUCGCAUGUCGAGCUCUCGGGAACUCGUAAAAGUCCGAGAAAACGCAACUGCCAAUCAAGAACUGGCACUCGCAGCCUAAUUUAGGCUGAG
rnacentral:tmRNA from 1 species